AGAAUCAACGCUGGCGGCGUGCCUAACACAUGCAAGUCGAACGGGAAAGUGGAGCAAUCCAUGAGUAUAGUGGCGACCGGGUGAGUAACACGUGACUAACCUACCCUUGAGUGGGGGAUAACCUCGGGAAACCGGGGCUAAUACCGCAUAACAUCUUCGGGAUGAGAAGCUGAAGAUCAAAGGAGCAAUUCGCUUUCGGAGGGGGUCGCGGCUGAUUAGCUAGUUGGCGGGUAACGCCCACAAGGCUUUGAUCGGUA
rnacentral:rRNA from 1 species